GGGCCUAUAGCUCAGUUGGUUAGAGCAUCCGACUCAUAAUCGGCAGGUCCCGUGUUCGAGUCACGGUAGGCCCA
rnacentral:tRNA from 2 species